rnacentral:misc_RNA from 1 species
UUUCCGUAGGUGAACCUGCGGAAGAAUCAUUAACGAGUUAGGGUCUUUUAGGCCCGACCUCCCAACCCUAUGUUUAUUGAACCUCUGUUGCUUCGGCGGACCCGUCUCACGGCCGCCGGAGGACCGCUGCGAGGCGUCCUCUGGCCAGCGUCCGCCGAUGGCCAACCCACUAAACUCUGAAUGAAUCGUGUCAUAUGUCUAAGUCUAUGAUUAAAUUAAAGCAAAACUUUCAACAACGGAUCUCUUGGUUCUG